rnacentral:rRNA from 1 species
AUACGUAAGUCCCAAGCGUUACCCGGAAUUAUUGGGUGUAAAGGGUCCGUAGGCGGAUUUAUAAGUCAGAUAUGAAAGACCGGAGCUCAACUCCGCGUUUGUAUUUGAAACUGUAAAUCUAGAAUUAGUGAGAGGUAAGCGGAAUUCUUAGUGUAGGGGUGCAAUCCGUAGAUACUAAGAAGAACACCAAAAGCGAAGGCAGCUUACUGGAACUAUAUUGACGCUGAGGGACGAAAGCGUGGGGAGCGAAGAGGAUUAGAUACCCUAGUAGUCC